CUCAAGAUUUCUUGUGGUGAAACCGUUGUCUCCUCUGCCGUCAAAUCAGACCCUCAUCUGCUGCCUACAGAGAAUGCUGGAAACCAUAUGAAAUAGAAAUGAGCUUUAAGUGAUAUUCACACCUCCUAAUCUGAGCCAUUUGCAAUUAUUUUAUAAUCUUACAAGAGAAGCAUUAAGAGCUGAUUGAGACAAGAAAUGCUGCAGUAAUCAUCCCUUCUGCACCAUGUAUGAGCUGUCAUCUCAGCAAGCAGCCCUAUACAAGGGCUUUGUCUGCCACAGCUGUUCACCACCACAGUGACCUCACUGGGAGAAUAUACUGGAACAAGAUAAUGCGCAUCAGAAGAAGGUUUAAAGAAUAAAUGAAGCUCUGGGCAAGAAGUGAACAUGUUGCCACGUGAGGUAACAUCUCAGUGCUUGCUAUGGGAGCAGUCGUCUUCUGACUGGGCCUGAGGGCUGCAAACUAGUGCUGAUGCUGGUCUCCAGCUCAGCAACAUGCAUGGAACAUUAUCUGUCUGUACAGACUGCAGUUGAUGUCAAAGUUGCAGUGAGCCAUGAUGGUUUUUUGCUACUGCAAUUCCCUAGCUUCAGGAAGAUCAAGAAAAGAAUUUAAUUCCAAGAAGCUUUCAUUAUAUUUUGUACUAUGCCCUUUUCUUGGGACAUCAAAAGUUCGUUUCACUUCUCUGACAUUAAAAUAAAUGGUGUUAAUGUAAAAUUUAUUGAAAUUAUAGCUAUAGUAGGUUUUAAGUUUUUUUUUUUUUUUUUAUCUUGGUUUACAAUCCAUACAGGAAGCUUAGCAUGGUCAUAAUGUAUUUAAUUGCAGAAUAAUCGUCAGAAAAACAAACCAAAAAAUCCCAUAAAUUUUGUAAAAGGGAACUACAUUGAAAUGAAGAAACUUAAAGAAGAAACUGAAAAGGAGUGUCAAAAGGUGACAAUAGGAAUUGAGGAAAAAUUUGCAGAAAGCAUGAAUAAAAAAUCUUUUUUUUUUU
rnacentral:lncRNA from 1 species